GGAGGUUAGAAUCAAAUCAUUGUCUACUAUCGAUCAAUUAGAUGUUAGGCGCUUGUGGUAUAAAACCAGUUUUGGGAUACCAACUAUUGACCAGAAAGAACAGAUAAUUAAAUAUUGGAACAUGACAAUAUUCAAUAUAUAGUUUUCUAAUCUGCAAUAUUGGCAUGCUGAAUUUAUUAGAUGUUGGAUAUCAGUUCAAAAAAUUGUGCAUCACUCUAGUCCUUGAAAACUAUAACAUUCAGUUUCUUCACUGCAAACAGAUAAAGGAUCAUUCCAAAGAUUUUAAGCAUGUGAAGCACCAAUAAAUAAAAAACCCAUUAUCUUGAGAAUGAGAGAGAUAAACGACACUUACAAGGUAAAACUAAAACUAAAAUUGAUUUCAGACUUCAUAGAAAUGAGCAAACAAAAACACACAAAUUUGACACUCACAUUUUCCACAAAGUUAAAGUAGUCAUAGNNNNNNNNNNNNNNNNNNNNNNNNNNNNNNNNNNGCCAUACCUGCUCUGUUGCUUCACUCUUCCACACACUCACUUUGCAUAAAUCCUUCAAAUAAUCUGUCAAAAGAGGAACAUCAUUUACAAUAGGAAAAAGAAAAACAUAACCAAUAAUUAAAGAAAAGGUAAAAAGGGAUAUCUACACAUGCAACUUCAAAACAAAACUUAGAAACAAUAAGCAUAAUAGUUUAUUUAUGGAAGUCACAAUAGUAAAAACCCAACAUGAGCAAAAUAGAAUCUCUAGAACAUGAAAGGAACACAACUUAUCAAAGUUCCUANNNNNNNNNAACAUAAGGUAUCAAGCAUAAGAUCAAAACAUGAUAUAUAUCAGUGCUAAAGGAUACAUGUCAUAUACUAGCAUAUAUUAGCAUUCAAAUUGAUAACAAUCCUAAAUGAAAAUUAAUCUAAUCAGAUUCCUUCACUCAUAGUUCAAUCUUAUUAAUUCCAAUACAUAUAAUAACUAGACAGCCUAAUGCAACUUCAGUAUGACAUCAGUUAAAGUUAACAAAGGUAUGCUGUAUCAAAUAAUACUAAAAAAGACAACAUAGACAAUCAUUAUAGUGUUUAUUUAUGUUUGUCAGUUAUGAACAGUGGAGGUGGCUUUAUCUAAUUUAUAGUACAGAGAACUCUGGAACAUUAGAUCAGGUUUAAAUUCAUAGUCAAUAAUAUAUAGGUCACUUUGUUGGUGAUAAGGUGGCGUUGAGUUCCUUUACCAGAAGCAGGAGCAAUGGAAAUCAUAACAUGCAGUGGAUCUUCCGUCUACGCCAUUUCUAGAUUUGGCAAGUCCAUAUUGUUGUCUCAAGCUCCCUAAAUUGUCUAGAGCUCUUUCAAACAAGCAUAAUAUCUCAUCCUUCACAGCUAAUGAUCUGCAAUGCAUUGACCGCUCAAACAUUAAUUUAGACAAACAAGGUAGAUACAUGAUAAUAAAAUCAAUAACAAAAUUAGAAUCAUUGCAAUCUAGUACUGGUCUAGCUAACAUGUCACAUAGACACUACAAUCAACCACCUCAGAUAAGAGAGCCUUCAACUUCUGAAGUUAUUUGUAUGAUUGCCGAGAGAUAUCAUAAGGUAUCAUGAGACAAAGCAAAGUAAAACAGGGGAAAUUGUAAGGUAUCAUGAGAGAUCAAAACAUAUUAUCAAAUAUUAUCGGUGGAAAAUGAAUUAACGAAACUUGAUCAAAACAAUGUUGCUCAUCAAGGCAUGUGGUUAUCAUAUGUCAAAACCAAUCCAAUAAUCAAUAAACCAUCUUCCCACAUUCUAAAUUUAAUUCACCUAUAUUUUCAUAUCAAAACGCUUUUUUUUUUUCAAUCAAAACAAGGUUGAAACUUCACUAACCUCUAUCCCAAUUUCAGCAACACACCAGAAACCAACUAUUUAUUAACAAUUAUUCAGUACAGCAGAGUAUAGUACACAGACACUGAAUAAUUUUUAAACAAGCAGAGUAAGCAAACAACAUGAAGAACACUAAGAAUCAUAAUGUAAAACCAAAAAAUCCCUAAACUUUUGAUAGAUAGCUAGUGAUCUAAGAAUAUUAAAUCAGAAAACAAAACCUACAGAUUUUGAGAAAUACCAAAUGAAAAUCGUAGAAAUAUAAAGGAAGAUGAGUGUUCUACCGAACUUUCUAUUCUCCUCUUAGCUUAUGCGGCAUCAAUUCUUGCAUUCCUGGAUGUUUUAGGGUUUAAGAGAUUAAGAGGAAAGGGCCUACUAAUAGAAAAACUGUAAACUCAGAAAACCUAGAUCUAUUGUUUAACGAGAAAAGAGAGAAAACCUGAACCAUCGGCGUUGUCAUGUCCCAUCGCGUAUUCGAUUGUAUUUGCCGUUAAUGUUCCAAUCAAGCUUCGACAAAGCAGUGGAUUGAUCGGAUCUUGAAAGGAGAGGUAUAUACUUCAGGUUCGAAGAGAGAUUGGGAAAGAAGGUUUUUUUUUUUUUUAAUA
rnacentral:lncRNA from 1 species